UCAAGGACUAAACUGUUAAGUUACAAAAAGAAAAAAAAUAAAGAAAAUCAAAAAUUUUGGUUUUAUCCCAUUGUCUCCCAUGCUGUGGGGCAUGGGGAGAAGAAGAAGAGAAGUAGAGGGAGAAGACAAGAAAAGAAGAAGAAGAGGGAAAAGAAGAGAGGAAGAAGAGGGAGAAGAGAAGAAAAGAAGAAGAAGAAGAGAGGGAAGAGGGAGAGGAAAAAGAGAUAGCUGCAGCAGCUAGGGCUGCAGCACCUCAGUUUCGUGUAGGAGGAAACAGAGGAGUUCAUGUGUGGGGCGUCAGGGAGGAGAAGGGAAGAAGAGGAGAAGAAGAGAAGCAGAAGCAGAAGAAGAAGAAGAAGAAGAAGAAGAAGAAGAAGAAGAAAAAGAAGAAGAAAAGAGGAGGUGGCUGUGGCAAGGGCUGCAGCGAGGAGCUGUGGGACGUUGGGGAGGAGAAAGGAAGAAGAGGAGAAGAAGAAAAGAAGAAGAGGGAAAAGAAGAGAGGAGGAGGAAGAGGGAGAAGAGAAGAAUAGAAGAAGAAGAAAAAGAGAGGGAAGUGGGAGAGGAGCGAGAGGUGGCAGCAGCUAGGGCUGCAACACCUCUGUUUCCUACAGGCGGAAACAGAGGAGACGAGGUGUGGGGGCGUUGGGGUGGAGAAGAAGAAGAAGAGGAAAGAGAAGAAGAGAAAAAGAAAAAAAAAGAAGGAUGGCUGCGGCAUGGGCUGCAGUGAGAAGGUGUGGGGUGUCAGGUAGGAGAAGGGAAGAAGAGGAGAAGAAGAAGGAUUAGAAGGAGAAGAAGAAGAAGUAGAAGCGGGUGAAGAGGCGGCACCUCUGUUUCCUGCAGGAGGAAAUAGAGGAGAGGAGGUGCUGUUCGUUGGGGAGAAGAAGGGGAGGAAGGAGAAGAAGAGAAGAAGAAGAAAGGAAGGAGAAGGAAGAGGAGAAGGGAAAGAAGUAGCUGCGGCUGUGGCAUCUGCAGCUGUGGCAGGGAAAGAGGAAGAGGAAGGAAGAAGGGAAGGAGAGGAAGAAGAGAAGGGGAAGAAGGGGCUGCGGCUGCGGCGAUGGAAACUGCAGUUGGAAGAGAAGAAGGAGAGGAAGAUAAGCAGGGGAGGAAGAAGAGGCUGCGGUUGUGGUGGCUGUGGCCAUGGCUGCGACUGCGACUACAGCAGUUGCAGCUAGGAAAGAAAAGAAAGAAAAGGGGGAAAAAAGGGGUUGUGGCCAUGAUUGCGGCUGCAGUGGUGGCGGCUGCAUCUGCGGUAGCUGUGUUUGGGAAAGAAAAAGUAGGAACGAGAGAAGGGAGGAAGGAAGUAGUGCAGUGGAAGGGGCUGCAGUUGUGACAGCAACUACGGUCGUGGCUACGACUGUGAUAGUGGCAACGACGAUGGCUGCGACAGCUGUGUUUGAAAAAGAAAACGAAGGAAUGAGAGUAAGAGAGAGCAGGUGACUAUGCCUCUAUGUUCUACAUGAGCUGCAGUUGUGGAGGAAAAAGAGAAGACAUAUGUAGAACACGAAAUAGGGAGAGGACACGAAGGAAAAGUAGAAGGAUUUGGGUUGACACCUUCUUUGGAUCUGCGGAUCAAAAUCUUUGAAAGGUCAGCUUGUCACUCUCUGAGAUGUUUGAAUUGGACUGAGGCAGUGGAGAGCUAUUCAGAAUUAUGGGCAAGUCUUGUUGGUUAUUAUGUUAUUAUUGUAUAAGCAUAUUUUGUAUGUAAUGAAAUGUUGUCGAUGAACCGAAAUGGAUAUACCUUGUAAAAGUAUUAGACGAUCUCUCUUAUUUGGAAUUUCGGAAUGUUAAUUCUAGUUUACAAUGA